GGAAAACAUUAUUGAUGUUGUGACUGGGGAGGGACGAAAAAAACACAAUUUAGCAGAGUGUUUCAUUUAAUAAUGCGCAGAGGGGAAACAUCUGAUGUAGAAGACAAAGAGGAACCUAGAUGCAUUCCUACGAAAACCAACCUCCCACGUCCCCAUACAGUUUCGGGGAAGAACGCCUGACGGAUGUGUGGAAGCAAUGAGACAAAAAAAGAGAGCAGAUCAGGAAUCGAUGCAUCGAUUUACAAGGUGGGUGAGUGCAACAAUUCGGAAAACUUCUUGGCUGAAAGCUGCAAACAACAGACGCAGAAUCUGCCCAUAAAAUAUCCGGGAUUUCUUGACCACGUAUUUGGAUUCCAUAUGUUGCUUGUGAAUAGAUUUCCUGUGCAGUUAACUCUCUCUUCCCCUUGUUAUACCCAACAAGCGACAUGUGUCCCCAGUGUACAUGAUUCAGACGACAUGCAAAGUUAUGUAUGCAGCACAGUGGAAGGGGUUUACUUUUACUCAAACUCCACGCUGCAAAAAUGGAAGUCGAGAGUCAUCGUCAUGUCGCCCUUUCCUUCACCAGCGGGGCAGAAAGGCUGAAAAAUGCCUUGGGCAUUAUUCAUCAAUAAUAGUGGGAAAAUGUUGUCAAUUGCAGCCGUUUUCAGUCCUAUAUGUUGCGAAAUAACUAUUUUUUUUUCCAAUCGACUAUAAUCCCAAAAUAGGACCCUUUUCAUGUUUUAGCCAAGCCCAAUAGAAAAUUGGCCUGACGGCUAUAUUCGCCCCACUGUUAAAUUCCCCUGCCUGGUAUACCAGGUUCUGACUUCAACUGUUAUUUUUGCUCUUCUGCAACCCCUAUCACAAUACCUGCUGCUGAAACCAGUGUUACCAUUGAAAAUUACCAUUUGCACCGUGGAGGAGGGAUGUAAAAAGACAAGUGAAGGAGGUGUUACGGGGUUUGGUGUUCCAUUCCAUCCUGCAAUGGACGCUCGAAAUUAUGUAGCCUGCAGUGUCUAUAUAUAAACACACAAUAAAAAUAAAGCUGCAACACAGAUCGUCGCCAAAAUGACGCCCGAACGAUUAGAUUACAGCUCCCUGGGAAACAUUUGGAAUAAUGCCAACUGAUUCAUAAUUAUGUAAAGCAGCUCCAAACCAGACGCCAGGCUGGUCGGCGUUUUAUUUAAACGUGGUGAAAAAGUCUGGGGUCACCUUGAUCGUUUAAUUGGAUGUUAUUGCAUUAGGUCGUCGUAACAAUCGACACUAAACCAGUCACUGGCCACUUUCCAUCGAUUUGGAAGAAAUCAAGGAAGACGUUACUGACCAUUCUCGGUAAAACGACCAGAGAGUGUCAGCGGUAAAUUCCAACACAUGUCAGACUUAAAGGGCUGUGCUGGAGUCUAUUUGUGUCACGCAUGAGGGUUUUCAACCAAAUUAUUAAAGGAGUAUUCGCUGCCCUUGGGGCUUCCAAUCUAUCAACAAUUAGGAUUCCCUGAAUAACUUGGGAAGCCUUGCAGAUUAUUUUUAUUAGAAAAAAAAACUUGUCUUUCUUUUCUCGAUGCUAUUCUACUCGGAAUUAUGAAAUCUUUUUAC